AUUCUAUAUGCAAUUUUAGUGGAAAAGUCUUUCUCUGCCUUUAUUAAAUAGCAGAACUGUACAGUGAACCUUGAGAAAUUUGUAUAUUAACAUACAGAUACUGGGUAUUUUUAUCAACAUAUACAGAAGUUUAAUAUCUUCAAAUGAAUUACAUACUUGCAUGUGUAAUCUGGCUACCUUCUAGUAAAAUGAAUUAUGCUCCUGUAUAUCAAAGAAUUACGUAGAGGAUGGAUUGGAAUUUCUGUCUUCUGUAAGGAUAAUGUAAGCAACAUAAAAUUCUGGAAAACAUUGCAAUUAGAUUCUAAAUUACUUUACAGUCCUUAAGCACAUGAAUCAAGCUGAGAAAUAAUCUACCUAAAACUCAUUAAUCAAAUCAAGUAUAUAACAUUCCUUAACUAAUGCUGUUCAUUCCAUGAAAUGUGUAUACAGAAGGCUUUCUUUUUUACUUCUCUCGUAACUGUUUAUAUGCACACUGAAGAAAUAUGCCCAGCACUGUUUGCAAUGGUUCCAGUAAAAAGGUACCAUGAAAACAAACUUCUAAUACAGGGAUUCAUUAUUAGUAGGAUGUAUGAAGGAGAUCAUAGAAGUAAAGGUGUAAAAAACUUUCAGGGUACAGGUUCUUAAGGAAUUACAAAAAAAAAAAAAAAAAAAGGUUGCAAUCCACAUAGUGCAUUUAUUUCACUCAACCUGAGUUUCUCUGAGUUUCAAAUUUUAAAAGAAAAUAAAAACUGAAAGUUAAACUCAGUUUGAGAGCACUAGGUUUUAUCUUGUUUUACAUCAAAACCUAACAAAACUGUGAAUUUUUCUUGCUUUCAGCAUGAAACUAUAAAUCACCUCAGGUUUUCUCAAACAUUUAAUUAACCUUAAGGUCAGUUCCUCAGGGUUAAAUGCUGUUGUCACUGGAGAAAAUGGGAUUUUUACCAUUGACUUCAGUGCAAUCAAGCUUUGGCCCAUAGUGAAUUAUUUAAGUCAAGCCAGUUAGUAUGAGCUGGGGAAUACUGUAAGAUAAAACUGAAUAAUUACUUAGUAGAAUUAAAGUAACAAACCAGGAUAUAUUAUUUAGAAUUAAUUAUUCAUCCAGCUAUAUUGAUUAGAUUUGCCAGUGAAAAACUUUAAAACUAGCAAUUUUUUCCUGAAUUCCUUAGCAUCUUAAAAAUAUUGUGCUGGAAAGGUUCACAGGCCAAUUAUCCAAACAUCUUGGACUAAUACCAGAGUGGUCGGAAAAAUUAUUGCAAUAACUCUUCAAAUUCUUGGUUGUAUUUAAGAUAGAAAUUCCAAAGAAAAGGUUUUGAAGUGGAGAGAAAGUAUAAUACAGAAUGUUGGCUUUUCAAUCACUAGUGUCACCUUUUGCUGUAGAUAUGUACUUGGAAAUGCAGGCAGGCACUGGGAAGAUUUUGCAAAAUAUUUUAGAUCUUACUCAAAGUUAUGUGUCUAACUGUACCUUAGAUGCCUUGAAAGUAUCACUUUUAUUCCCUUUUAAAACACAUAAUAUAAAUGUUUAAAUGAACCAGGUAGGUGCCCACAGACAGAUAUGGAAAUGAUUAACACAAACCAGAGCUUUAAGAGAAUUUUUUAUAGUGAUCACUAUGGGAAUCUCGAUUGAGCCUGGAGGCCUUGAUUCAACAAAGCAUUUAGGCUUCUAACUUCCCAUUGAUUUCCCAUUUAAAUUAAUGGCAAGUUUGGGCCUAAAGACUUCAUUAAACUUGGGACUAAGUGAUUAGACUUUGGUGAUAUUUUCAGGACACUGAGUUCUGGAUCACUUACAGAAUUCCUGGAAAGGGUUACUUUGUGCUAGGGAUUUCAGGUUAUCUGCUGGAAAAUGCAAACCCACUUGUCACACUCAUCCCAGAGCACACCCACACGUGAAGACUGGACAAAGACUGGACAAAGAACAGCAGCUCUCUGUGCCUCCCCCUGCAACUGUACACACCUUUCUCCAUCUGUGUGUGCCAAACCUGUCUGACAGGCAGCUCUAUUGUAAAUCACCACACUAACAAGGGCGUGCAGUUUUACAUCACAAAAAAAUUGUGAAAGAAGUGUAAACGCAGGUCCUGUAUGUUGGAGCUGAGUCCUGAAGAAAAGUAUUCCCAGCUCUACAUGCAGAGGGCACUGAAGAGAACUCCAAGGCUGGUCCAACAUUCUGCCUGCUUCUCUGAAGGAGCAGGAAGGUCCCACAGGACUGAGAGUGCAGCUUGCUCUGGGGAUGUGUCCAUUCUAAAUAGAAUGUGGGGAACUGAGCAUCCUCCCCUGCAAGUUUCAUACAACCUAUGAUGGUGUCUUUAGAGAUUGCUGUUUCGCAUACAUAUAGUCAAAAUUAUUAAUGAUUAUAUUUAUUCAGUCCUAAAUCAGUUUUCAUAUUCACCUCUACUUCUUUCAUGUGCAUGUUUUUGUCCAAACACAAAUAGACCUUGAAAAGCCAGAGGUUCUGGAGUAAAGCAUGAGAUGUUAAAAGUAUCCGACAUAAUUAUAAUAGCUUUAAGCUAUGCUUUGCUAAAUUAAAGCUCUAUGAUUAACUUCUGUAAGUAUGUAAUGCAUUCACAUCUUACUUUGUCCUAAAGAGCCACUGACUUUUUUUUGAAUGAGCAAAUUAAAGUUCAGGCACAUGUUUCUUUUUUCCAUCACAUUUUUAUGUAGAAACAAUACCUUUCUUCUUCCAUCACAGGUAAUCAUAGUUGGUGUGUGAUUUAGAAGCAUGACACAGUUUAAAAUGAUCUGCUCCUCUAAAUUUUGCCAGCAAACAAAUAUGCACAGAACUAUAGAAGCCAUCUACUGACAUUUUAUUCAUAAAAAUACAAAUAAAGGAUGACUUAUUUUUUGGGGUUUUUUUGAAGACUGUAGGGAACAGUCAACUAAAGUAAUUUUAAAUAAUUAUUUCAUGCUCCGUUUAAUUUUAAAAGCACUUGGAGACGGGUUCUGGAUUUUUUUUUAAUCCAAUGAGCAGAAUCUCUUUCACUGUAAAUAUCCUGAGUGCACUCUUGAGACAAAAAUAUCUGAUUUUUCCAAUCCUGUAUUCUUAAUGUGUUAUAAUUCAAUGUGAUAGGUGUGAUUUUUGACAUUAUGGGAUCCAGUUAGAUCAUAAAGCGUAUACAAAUCAAAUAAUAUAGAUUAGAUGCUAUGCUGGUCCAUAACUGUUAAAUGGGGUCAUGGUUUAUAACUAGCUAAUAGACUCUUAUGUACUAAAUUAUUUCAUGGGAUUCAGUACCGUACAUUCAUCAUAACACUGACAUGCAUAAUCUUAGGCAAUUAAUUUAAAAAGUCUUCCUUCUUGCUUCUGGUUUGGAUGAAUUGUUACUAAGGCAAAUUACUUAGGUAGUUUUCAGUGCUAACAGUACUAAUAUUUUUAAUUAGCAGUGGACUCUGUAUGACAUGCUACCAUUCUAAGUGGGAACAAAAAGAAAAUACUGUGAUUUUCGUUUCCUUAACUGGUAAGAAAUAAUGAGUUUAUAUUGUUUCACAAAAACAUGUUUCUGCUCAGCAAUUACUUCCUACAUAGCUGGUCUGUUCUUUUGAGGCAGUCAAAUGAGAGGAAUUUGACAUCCUAAUACACACAGUGAAUUAGGGUUCUGAGUAACAAAGAGUGUCUUCAAUGUCUGUAGACUUUUCAUAGGAAGCUUCGAGAACAGAGUUUUGUAAUGACAUAUUCAAAAUCAUCAAUAGACUUAUUUUCAAGAAAUGAAGCCAUUAUAAAAUGCUGUAUUAUUAUCAAAACUAUAAUUUCAUGGCUCUAUUUGAAAAAACAAAAGUGUAAUAUCUCCAAAUGUGUUGGGAGACAACGUCAUUGACCAUUUCCAGGUUCCUGUUCCCUCUGCCUUACACCCAGUAGUCAGAGCACUUUUACAGUUAUAUAGUACUGUGCUCUGGUUUGGAAGAGAGAGCUCUUAAAAAACCUGAGAAAGAGCCAGAUAAAGACAAAGAGCCACAGAGAUUUGAAUUGAAAAGUCUG
rnacentral:lncRNA from 1 species